UGGCAGCAGCCGCGGUAAUACGGAGGGAGCGAGCGUUAAUCGGAAUUAUUGGGCGUAAAGGGCGCGUAGGCGGCUAGGCAAGUUGGAGGUGAAAGCCCUCGGCUCAACCGAGGAAUUGCCCCCAAAACUGCCUGGCUUGAGUCCCGGAGAGGGUAGUGGAAUUCCCAGUGUAGCGGUGAAAUGCGUAGAUACUGGGAGGAACACCAGUGGCGAAGGCGGCUACCUGGACGGGUACUGACACUGAGGUACGAAAGCGUGGGUAUCAAACAGGAUUAGAUA
rnacentral:rRNA from 1 species